AUUAAUGUAAAUCACCAUUUCAAUAGGAGCAAGGAGAAAUAUCACAUGAUUAUCUCAAUAGACGCAGAAGAAAACUUUGAUCAAGAUGAAUACAAUUCAUUGAUUAAAUAGGAAUAAAUGGAUACUUCCUUAGGAUGAUCAUGUGUGUGUGUGUGUGUGUGUGUGUGUGUGUGUAUGUUUGUGUGUGUCUAUUUCCUAAAGUCAGCAUCAUACUUAAUAGGAAUACAUUGAAAGCUUUUACACUCCGAUAAUGAAUAAAGCAAAGAUGCUCGCUGUCUUCACUGAUAUUUAACAUUGCAUUUUAGGUGUUAGUAACAAUUAGAUAAAAGAGUAAUACAGACUGAACAUAAACAAUAAAACUAUCUCUCUUUGCAGAUGAUAUGAUAGCAUAUACUUUUAGAAACCAGAAAGGGUCUCAGAUUUUACCACUACUUGCAAACUAACAAGUGAGCUUGCCACAGUUUUAUGGAAACUGAUAGGAAACACGAGACUCCUGGGUUAGAGACAAAGAACUUUAUUAACUCGUGACACAGCAAGCAUCAUGAUUGUCAGACUAUUUGCACCAAUCUUUCUUGUCCACAAAACCCACAGCAGUGAUGCAACUGAGCCCAGAUGAAAGUCUGCAUACACAGAAAGCUGUUUUACAGAGAGGAUCCUUGAGCUUGGAGAGCCAAAUAUUUCCUAAGAAGCAGUAACUACGUCUGUUUUAUGCUGCAGAUACAGCUCAGAAAAAAAAAAAAAAAAAGACAAUGCCUUGCUUUGCAGGAUAUGCAAAAAUGCAACAGAUCCACGGAGAAUUGUCUCCCAGCCUAGAAAAUUGUAGAAACUGUGAUACACGGAAUCCUAAAAUGCCCCCUGUAUUCAUUUCCUAAGACUGCUAUUACAAAUUACCAUAAACCUGGUGGUCUAAAACCAAAUAAAUAUAUUCCCUCAAAGUUCUGGAGGCUAGAAGUACAAGCUUAAGGUGUUUGUAGGUAACAUCGUCAGGCCCUGAAGCAGCACUGGGUCCAUGACUCAUUCCUGGCUUCUGGUGGAUGAAGAUAUUUAUUCCAAAUAAGGUCCCAUUCUGAAAUUGCAGAACAUAUAUUUUGGGGGCCAUUAUCCAAUCCACUACAGCCACCAAGAUUCCUGACCUCUGCUGUACACACAACUUCUCCCAGUUAUUCAAUUAAACACCAAGUACUGCUGGAAAGGAUUAUGCAGAUUUAAUUAAGGUACCAAAUCAGUUGACCUUAAAGUAAGAAGAUUAUCUGAAUGGGAUUGGUCUAAUCAUAUGAGGCCUCUAACUCUGUGUCUGGAGAUUAGAAGCAAAGAAAGUCAGAGAUCUGAAGCAUGAGGGAGAUUUGACAUGUGAGAAUUCCUCGCCUGGAGACAGCCACAUGAGAAUUUCUCACCUGGAGACAGCCACGUGAGAAUGCACAUGAGUAUCCUGUAAAUGAUGAAAGAAGCACCUAGUUAAAAGCUAGCCAGUAGAAGGAGAUCUCGGUUGUACAACCACAAGGGACUGGGUUCUGCCAACAACCUGAAUAAUCAAGGAUGAAGAAACUGAACCUCAGAUCAGAGUAGCUCUUUUAGCAUCUUGAUUUCAGCUGCUGAGACCCUGAAUAGGGAGGCUAGCCAUGCCUAAAUAUCUGACAUCUGACAUUACAGAACUGUGGACAAAGAAAUGUACAUUUUUUAAAGCUACAAUGCUUGUGGUAAUUUUUUUAUAGCAGGAAUUUAAAAUAAAACAAUAAUCAUUGAAAAAAAGAUUCGGGUAUUAAAAGUAUUCAACCACUUAUUGGGAUACAAAUUUACAGGCAAAAUUCAGGAACCUUCAUAUAUAUAAAUAUAGAUUAUUAGAAGAAUUAAUGGCAGAUCAAAUCUCAUUCAUAAUACUAAAAAAGAAAACAUCUUGGAUUAAAUUUAAGAAAUACUUAAAACUGAGAAAAAUUAUGACACUUAUAAAAUAUAUACAAAUAUACUUGGACCAAAAGUAAAAUAUGCCCUUGUUAUUAUUAGACUGCCACUACAUCAAGAUGUUAGUUUUCUUGUGUUAAUUUGUAAAUUUAAUAUUCCCUCGUUUAACUCUCAGGUUUUUCUGGAGCUAGAAAAUAUGAUACUAGAGUUAAUAUGGCAAAAUAUACAAACAAUAAUACCCAGGAAAAUACUGAACAAGAUCUGAAGGUGUACAAAUUCAGAAAUAUUU
rnacentral:lncRNA from 10 species